rnacentral:lncRNA from 1 species
CCUGGACUGCUCGCCCCAACCCUCUCUACGCGUGGGUUCUGCUGCAACAUCGAGGAGAGAGCAGGGGGUGCUCAUCUCCAGGCCAUCGGCAAAGAUGUCAGACUGUACUUGUCCCACAGGCCUGGCCGGCAACAGCAGGGUCUCCCCCAAGUGGGGCUUGCCAGCCGCACUGCUGCAUGUGGCUUUGGGAGGGCCUGCGGGAGCCUGCUGGUCCCCAUGGGCCUGGCAAGCAUCUGCCCUGGUAGACUGAAGUGCCCCCAGGCCCUGUGGUUAGUGGAAGCCUGCUGGCCCCUGGAAGAUCUGGGAGAGGAGAGCUGGACAGCUCACCCACCACGGCCAGCAUGAAAGGCAGCUAGUAAGCCCCCCUGCGCUGUCAGCCUCUGCUCAGAAGUCUCUGGAGUGGUGUCCAGGUGCUGAGGGGGUGCACUGAUGCUGCACUGAUGCUCAGCCAGGAGCAACUGGAGCAGAAAGCAGCAGUCAUGGGAAGAUGCCUCAGAUCACACACAUGCACAUGUGCACACACAUGCACAGAUACAUGCAGACAGACGGACACAUGCACAGAUGCACAUGUGCAGACGCACAUGUAGAUGUGAGCACACACAUGCAAAGACACACACACCAGGCACAUGCACACAUGCACACAGGAGCGACUGAAACUUACAAUAAAGCACGAACAAGUCUACGGUUCCAUAGGCGUAGCUCUGUUCCAGCAGACGCUGACCAACUCUCCCAUUAAAAACACAACACAAGCUAGAAAAAACUAUCUUAAAAUGUCUGUUCGAAAUCAAUGAAGAACUCCUAAAGCAGUGACAAUUUUGGGGGCCAAGGUCUGAAAGACGGGGAAAGUAAGGAUGAUGGGCUGAUGCUUGGGGCGGCGUGGAUCCGGGCUGACCAAUAACUGGGGAAGCAAAAGCUGAGCUGAGCCAUGGGAGCCGGACUCAGCUCUCAGCACUCAUGGGGCCAAAGGAAACAAAGGGGCCCCGAGAAGCCCCUCAGCUGUUGGUGGGAACCCUGAAGGGGAAUCAGCCUGACCCCACCCUCCCAGAGUCUGCAGUUGGGUCACAAGGGCCUCCCUCCCUGGGUGACCACAGGAGCGAGCGCCACUCGGCUCCCUGGAGACGGCACCACUGGUGGCCUGAGACCUGUCCUAUGAACAUCUGUCACUCAACCAAAAAUGCCAAGGGUACAAGAUGAAAAUCAACCAAAAAAGAAUGAAGUUGGGAGCAAGAGGGAGUGGACUCUCAUUCACUGACUUACUCAUUCUGUUAUCACAUGCGUACUGAAAAUUCAGAGUAAAACCUCGUACUGUGCAACCCAGAAUUUACCAAGAUGAGAAUAAUGAGAUAUAUAAACCAAUAACUCUACACAAAGUGCUGCAAGAGAAGAUUAACAUGAGACAGAAGGAGUUCAGAGGCGAGGAGAAGUCAAGGCUGGCCACACAGCAGAAGAGGAACUUUGGCUGGGCUUGGAUGAUGGGGCAUUUGGACAAGUGAAGCAGUGGAGAAUUUCUUUGAGGGACCUGGGCCUCCACCAGCCCUUUGUAUGAAUUAGAAAGGGACUUUUUCUCUGUUGCCCAACACUGCAGGUGCACUACUUGGGAAGUGAACGGCACCUUUGAAAUGAGGUGCUACUGAAACAAAAGCCUAAAACUGGGGAAAUCAUCUUAGGGAUGGAAGUGUGGGCUAAGAGACCUCAAUGAGACUGAUAGUAAAGUCUCAAAGUUCAGUGAGGGAACACCUGGAAAGAUGGAAAAGAGUGACUGCUGUCAUGUAGCAGCAGAAACGUUAGUUAAAAUAUCCUUUGGGGAAACCAGGACACCAAAAAAUAUACCACAUGAGCUUGUGGGUUUGACUGAAGAGACUUUGAGGCAGACUGUCAUAAUUGGCAACUGCUUUCUUUUAGCUGUGUGUAAUAUAGAUAAAAUAAUGAAGGAAUGUCCCAUUUUUGAGCAAAAUUUAAAGAAAAUAUAAAGGUGUCAGGACUUGGCUGGGUUUCUCUAAGUGGUUUCUCAUAUGCAUCUUUCAGACAAAGAAAUAUUCUCACAGUAAGAAAAUGCUGCGUGGCAAAGAUGGAACUCAGUGUGUUUGAAGUCAACUAUGGCUGUGGGGUAAAGUUCAGAUUAAAAGUGUGGAUUUCAUACCUUUUAUUGAGACUUGAGAAAGAUUUAAGGCAUGCCUCAUUUACUCUUUCAGUGAGACUGAGAGACUUGUGAUGAUAUCUUUGUCUAAUGGAGUGAGACCCCCUUAAGAUUUGUAGGAAAUCCACCAAGUUUUUAAGAGAAUUGUAUUGGUGGAAGCACUGUCAGCUCUGAAUAAAGGGACAAUUCAAAAUUAGAAGAAGUCUCUGGGACAUCCAUCUUCUAUGUCCAGGAAGAUGACUAAGAGAGGUAAUCAGAUGAAAAUAUGGACCGUUUUUCGGGGGAAAGGAAGGGUGACUCAGAGGGUGGAGUCAAGAGCAUGGAGGGAGAGGCAAGAGCAUAGAACAAACACUCAGCUCUAAUUAAGGUACACUUCCUACCUCUAGAGCAGGGGAAUUGGUGCCCUGCAGCUGGAUUUUAGCUGUGUGGGCAUUGACUGCUAAUGUGCCGCCAGCUUUCUGACUUUUCAGUCAGAAAGACCGAUCCUGGUUUCUUUCCUCCCCAUUGUAUUAAAAUGUUGGGUGUGUGGAAGAGGGAAUUUGACCCCUUUAGUUUGCAGGUCUUCACGCUGGGAGGGAUUGCGCUUGAGUAAAUGCAUCUUAGGAAUACACUGGGGGUACUUUACAGACCUGACAUAGAUGAUGAGACCCUGGACUUUGUGCUGAUGCCAUAAUGGGCUGGGAUGUUGGAGGCCUUGGUGAAGGAGGUGAGUGUAUUUUGCAUAUGCAAAGGACAGGAAUGCCUGUAGCCAAAGAGUAGACCAUGCCAUUAUGUUCUUUUUCUUUUUGUUUGUUUUGAGACGGAGUUUCGCUGUUGUUGCCCAGGCUGGAGUGCAAUGGCAUGAUCUUGGCUCACUGCAAUCUCUGCCUCCUGGGUUCAAGCGAUUCUCCUGCCUCAGCCUCUGUAGUAGCUGGGAUUACAGGCAUGCACCACCAUGUCCAGCUAAUUUUGUAUUUUUAGUAGAGACAGGGUUUCUCCAUGUUGCUCAGGCUGGUCUCAAAUUCCUGACCUCAGGUGAUCCACCCACCUGGGCCUCCCGAAGUGCUGGGAUUACAGGUGUGAGCCACCGUGCCUGGCCGACAUUAUGUUAUUUUUCUAAGGUGGCCACAGCAAUGGUUUUCCAUCCCACAUGUUCUUCAACGUGAACUUGCUACAUCCUGAAGAGAUGGGUCUAUUUCUUGACCCUCUUACACAGUCAAAUGAGGCAAAGUAGAAAAUUCAUUCAUUCUUAGCCUAAGAUAAGCAUGCAGAGGAAGAGACAUUAAUGAAUUCAUGCAGCAUGAAAUUUUCCCAGUGGGGGAAUAAAAAAGAUACAUUAUUAGAACAAAUAGAAUUAUAAAAUGACAUAAGUGGCUAUAUCUUUUUAGGACACUCUUCAAUAAAAUCAAGCUGUUUAGCAUUAUUGCAUUUUAACUACAUUCCAUUUUUCUGACAUUAACCAAAAAAGCUUAACAAUUAAUUUGGUAUAUUUUGAAGUCUGUCCCUAAAAUAUUUGCAGUCCCCUCAGGCUAGAUCAUGGGCUUCCUGGCACUCCACUCCAGCAACAGUGUACUAUGGUCCUCAUCACCUGGUGUACUUACCGUCAUGACCACCCAGAGGUAAAAGGGAGCUGCAGCCCAUGGCUGGCCAGGACCCUGGGUUUUCAGAAAUCCCUGCUAUGUUAAUAUGCUGUCCACUUGUUUGCUCAACUGCCUCACUUCAGGCUCAACAUCUCUAGAAAAACAGAUAUUAGGGAAGUCCCUGGCCCAGUUGCAGGGCCGGCGCACUUCAGCAGCCCCAAGUGUAAGCUGCACAGGCAAGCUGAAAGCCAGGUCCUCACUGUGGUGCCCCUCGUCUCCCCCAAGCCUGGCACCCCAGGGCCCAUUUCUGUAUCAGUGUGUCCCAGCCCUGGCUUUCAUCUCACAAGGAUAACAGCAAAUAGCUUAAAGGAAAUAAAGAAAACGUGGGUUGAAAGGGCACAGUACAUCCUAGGCAAAAGGUGCAUCAUGAGCAAGAAUGACAUACAGACCGAGGGUGUGCUGGAGAUGGCUCACACCAGCCCUUAGAGCUGGCUGUUAAAUUAUCAAGAAUAGUGUGAGCCAGUUGUUAAUCCCAGCCAUUAUCGUACAUCAAAUUAACAAAUUUACAACCAAAUCAAUUAUAUCAAAAACAAAGUUAAUAGAUACUCCACACUCAUUUCUUCCUAAUUAUUUUUAACCUGUUUUGCUACUGUUUAUGCCCUGGAGGCUGCUUAUGACAACUGUACCUGUAUGAUGGAGUUGCUACACAAAGGUGGCUACUGUGUAUCUCUUUCCAACUCUGCAUUCAGUGACAUUUGGUAGCUGGAAAUCCACCACAGUGGGAGUUUUACCAGAAACUGGCAAAUGCUACAAUCAGGGCUUUCCCCGAAGAAAGCUGGUUGGUAAACAUUUGCCUGCACACUACAGAUAAAGAACUAUGAGCUCUUCAUAGCGGGUUGCAUACCAAGGAGAGUACAAGAGGCCACCUCAGAACUCCCACUGAGUGCUCUUGUGGAGAAGGAGACAGAGCAGGGUCUACACAGUUAGGGUGGAAAUGGGCUCUGGGAGUUUUAUACCCAUCCAAGUUCUCGCUCACAUGUGGAGGACAGCAGGUAACGUGCUGACACUGAAGGACAACAGCCCAAGUACAUCCAGGUUUGUAGCGGUAUGGCCAAAAAGGACACUCCUUUCAUGAAGGCAUCCCAUGAUGCCUUUGUGGAAGGGACCCCCAACCCACGGGCCACAGACCAGUACCAGUCUGUGGCCUGUUAGGAACCGGCCUGCACAGCAGCAAGUGAGUGGUGGGCCAGCGAGCAUGACCACCUGACCUAACCUCCUGUCCGAUCUGCGGUGGCAUUACAUUCUCAGGGGCACAAACCCUAUGUGAAUUGCACAUUCAAGGGUUCUAGGUUGUGCACUCCUUAUGAGAAUCUAAUGCCUGAUGAUCUGAGAUGGAACAGUUUUGUCCUGAAAUCCUGAAACCAUAGCCCCCUGCCACCCCUCAUCUGUGGAAAAAUUGUCUUCCAUGAGACUGGUUCCUAGUGCCAAAAAGUUUGGGGACCACUGCUUUAUAGUACCUAAAAUUAUAUGUUUUUGUUGACAGAGUUUUCUAGAGGGAUCUGCAAGAAGCUGUUACGAUUUAUUGCAUGGGGAGGGAAGCUCAGGGUGGUUAGAAUUCUUUACUUCUCCUGUGUUGAUUGCACUUUCUACAUUGUAUGUAUGUACCUUUAAUAUUUUAUAAAUGUGUGUUUUUUAGAAGAGAUAUGCUGACAUAGGACACAGAAAGAUUUAAAAUAAAAUGAAAGAAAAGAUAUAUUAAACCAAUAUUACCCAUUAGAAAGCUGCUGAAUUGCUAUGACUGUCCCAUGAAAUAGACUUAAAGGCAAAAAGCAUCAUGAACGUUAAAGAAAAUAAGAAGAAUGACUCACCAGCAGGACAAAAACUGUGAUGGACAAAAACUGUGGACAUGAGGAAUGACUGUGAUGGAGAAGAACAAGAACUGUGAUGAACCCAUAUGCACCUAAGAACAUGGCCUCCAAACACAGAAAGCAAACACUAACGGAACUGUGAGUCCACAAUCUCAAGAAGUUUUGUAUGUCUCUUUCAAUGACAAGACAAUAACAACAAAAAAUUAGGAUACAAAAGAAUGAGUUGAGUCUGUUCGUAUUAAUUUGAAAAGAUCUCUUCAACAUAUUAUUUAUUCAGUAUGCCAAGAUGCAGAGCAGUAUUGCAUAGUGUAAUCUCAUUGAUGUGUUAAAAGUAUACAUGUGCACAGGUGUGCACACAGGCAUGCACGCACACACACAUGCCCUUUGGUUCUGCACGUACAUGUUCUGCAAGGUUCCAGUGGGGAAUGGAAGCAGAGUUUGUAGGGAUGGGGAAAGAGAAACUUGUAUCUCAAAUUUUACUUCCCUUAUGUUUAAAUUUUGUCAUGCA